rnacentral:rRNA from 1 species
GACGGAGGGGGCUAGCGUUGUUCGGAAUUACUGGGCGUAAAGAGCGCGUAGGCGGACUAGUAAGUUGGAAGUGAAAUCCCAAGGCUUAACCUUGGAACAGCUUUCAAAACUGCAAGUCUUGAGUGAAGUAGGGGGAUGAUGGAAUUCCUAGUGUAGAGGUGAAAUUCUUAGAUAUUAGGAGGAACACCGAUGGCGAAGGCAGUCAUCUGGGCUUCAACUGACGCUGAUGCGCGAAAGCGUGGGGAGCAAACAGG